ACGCUCGACACCUACGGGAGACAGCAGUGGGGGAUAUUGCACAAUGGGGGAAACCCUGAUGCAGCAACGCCGCGUGAAGGAAGAAGGUCUUCGGAUUGUAAACUUCUGUCCUCAGGGAAGAUAAUGACGGUACCUGAGGAGGAAGCUCCGGCUAACUACGUGUCAGCAGCCGCGGUAAUCUGAGCGGGCUGGCAAGGC
rnacentral:rRNA from 1 species